AGAGUUUGAUCCUGGCUCAGGAUGAACGCUAGCGGCAGGCCUAAUACAUGCAAGCCGAACGGUAAUCCCGCCAGCAAUGGCGGGACUAGAGUGGCGUAAGGGUGCGUAACACGUAUGCAAUCUGCCCUGUACAAGGAGAUAGCUCCCCGAAAGGGGAAUUAAUAUCUUAUAUUAUCUGGGGGAGGCAUCUUCUCGAGAUGAAAACUGAGGUGGUACAGGAUGAGCAUGCGUCUGAUUAGCUAGUUGGUGAGGUAACGGCUCACCAAGGCGAUGAUCAGUAGGGGAACUGAGAGGUUGAUCCCCCACACUGGCACUGAGAUACGGGCCAGACUCCUACGGGAGGCAGCAGUAGGGAAUAUUGGUCAAUGGGUGCGAGCCUGAACCAGCCAUGCCGCGUGCAGGAAGAAGGCCUUCUGGGUUGUAAACUGCUUUUUUCUGGGGAUAAAAUACCCCGUGCGCGGGUAAUUGAAGGUACCAGGAGAAUAAGCCACGGCUAACUACGUGCCAGCAGCCGCGGUAAUACGUAGGUGGCAAGCGUUGUCCGGAUUUAUUGGGUUUAAAGGGUGCGUAGGCGGUUGAUUAAGUCAGUUGUGAAAUACGGCAGCUUAACUGUCGAGGUGCAAUUGAUACUGGUUGACUUGAGUACAGACGAGGUAGGCGGAAUUGACGGUGUAGCGGUGAAAUGCAUAGAUAUCGUCAAGAACACCGAUAGCGAAGGCAGCUUACUAGACUGUAACUGACGCUGAGGCACGAAAGUGUGGGGAUCAAACAGGAUUAGAAACCCUAGUAGUCC
rnacentral:rRNA from 1 species